rnacentral:rRNA from 1 species
UACGUAGGAUCCAAGCGUUGUCCGGAUUUACUGGGUGUAAAGGGUGCGCAGGCGGACUGGUUAGUCCGGGGUGAAAUCUCGCCGCUUAACGGCGAAACUGCCUUGGAUACUGCCGGUCUUGAAUUAGCGAGAGGUUCGUGGAAUUCCGAGUGUAGCAGUGAAAUGUGUAGAUAUUCGGAAGAACACCAGUGGCGAAGGCAGCGAACUGGCGCUAUAUUGACGCUCAGGCACGAAAGCAUGGGGAUCAAACAGG